UCCCCCCCUCCCUCUCCCCGUCCCCCUCCCUCUGUGUCUGACGUUGCGGGGUCAGGCUCGGCGACCCAGGGAGACAAAGAGAGGGAGGACGAGAGAUUGCAGCAACAGGUGAUGGCCGAGCUACGUCGGACAACAUACCGUUGGAAGCCGGUCAGCUACGACAAGCACCUGAGUCAGGUCUAUAUCGCAGCCCGACUGGAUGGAGGGUACGCUGCAAUCACCAGGGUCCUACACGAGAUUAAGAAACGUGUCCCCGAGUUCCAUCCCCGUACGCUGUUGGAUUUUGGAUCCGGCACUGGGACCGUCACUUGGUAAGUGUCGUCUCUCUCCC